ACCAAACUCAGCCCAUUGUUCUCUGGUUUGUUCUUGUUUCUUAGACACAAAACAAAACCAUGUCCAAGCAGCAGCCCCCAGCUGUGCUAUUGUACAGGACCGUGACACUCAGGGACACGUGGUUGGCACUUGGAGGUGUCUCCAGACAGACAUCAGAAAUCACAAGCAACUUUCAGAAACAAGCUCUGCUAAUGAUGUUACCGAGGCUGUGGCAGUUCUUGUCGAGAUUAUUAAAUGAAAAGGUGUUUUCAUUAGGAUGGAAAUUCUGGUCCUGCUGAAAUCAGAGCACCCAUCUGUGACAAGCAUGAUCAGGAGACUGAGAUCACUCUGAAUUUACACCAAAUGCAACAGGAGAGAGAGAACAGCUGCCACAAGGUUUUCUGAUUUGGAGAAAAAGGGCUUUGAAGCUGAUUUAUGUCCCCAGCCAGCUCCUGUCAGGCAUCUGAUCUUGGAGCUACAGAGGACCCAAGAUCCCUUGUCACCUCUGUGAAACUCUUCUCACUCAUUACUGACGAGCUGCUGGUGUUGCACAGGGCAAGUGGAAAGUAUCUGCCAGCAUCCAGGGACAGGUGAUUGGCAGCAUGUCCCUCUCACAGGCACUGAUGGAAGCGUUUUCCUGGUUUUUCUCCUUCAAACAAAGUGACAAAAUUACAGAUUUAUUGUUCAUGAGCUCCUAAAGAGGUACUUCAUAGGCAUGCAUGAGUGUAGAGCAGCAAGAAAAUGGCAGUCAGAGCAGUUUGUGGAGAUCUGUUUGUCUGUAACGAAGCACAGUAGGUCAUUGGCAUGACAACUAUGACAGCCAUUCUUGACCUCUUCAUUUUCCUGCUUGUAUAUGCUUGGAUUUCAUAAUUGGUGCGAUGAUUAUAAAUAUUACAGCUUCCCUAUCAUAAUUCUUAACAAUUUAUUUUAUUAUAAAUCUGCCCAGACGAGAUGGUAAUGAGUCCAUAAAAAGAUCUAAACUGCUCGUUAGAAUAGCAUCGUUCACAGGUUAAUUAAAACAUGCCUUCUAUGUGAAGUAUUUAUUUCUUCAUUAAGCUGGCCAUUCUGCAAAGGCUGUCUUCUUUUCUAUGUAUGUUUUAUACAAACGUAUAUCCAGCGACAGAUUUACAGGUUGAAUAGAUACACUAAACUCAGUCAUAAUAACACUCACAUCAUUAGGAGCCUUGAGUACUCUUUGCUGGAUGUUCACUAGAUGCGUGCAUGAACAUAAAAUUCCUACACAUAUAGGCCUGCAAGAGCAAACCGCUGACUCUGCAAGAGUGAACUGAUGACUACAGUUUAAGACUGGAGAUUUGUGAGCAUGCUGCAAUUUAGAGAAAUAAGCUUGAAUUUUCUGAUACAGUCCAUUUUUACUGACGUCACUGUGAAUUUAGGUCAGAUCUUCAAGACCUGUACAGAAAUAUCUGACAGGUCACAAUUGCAUGUAGGCAUGCAAAUGUAAAUGCCCUUAC